UACGUAGGGGGCAAGCGUUGUCCGGAUUUAUUGGGCGUAAAGAGCGUGUAGGCGGCCAUACAGGUCCGUUGUGAAAACUGGAGGCUUAACCUCCAGACGUCGAUGGAAACCGUAUGGCUAGAGUCCGGAAGAGGAGAGUGGAAUUCCUGGUGUAGCGGUGAAAUGCGCAGAUAUCAGGAAGAACACCCGUGGCGAAGGCGGCUCUCUGGGACGGUACUGACGCUGAGACGCGAAAGCGUGGGAGCGAACAGG
rnacentral:rRNA from 1 species